rnacentral:piRNA from 1 species
UUAGACAGCUGUGGUGUAGGAUGGGGAAGU